CAGUGUUCGGGGCCGUUUUGGCGGCUAUGCAGGAUUGGCAGGAGCUGCGAUGCUCACACUUGCCUCGCCGACCGCCAUUUCACAUCCAGCAGAGGAGGCGGGGGCAGCCGCUGAGACGGUUUUUCACAAGGAAAUGACCUCAUUCUUGAUGGCUGCUGCUAACUUAUGGUGAGAUGCUGGGUCCCUGCCCAAUACCACAUGGACAUCCAAUCAAUUUACCCAGGGACAAGUCCACUCAAGAGCAUCAUUUAGAAGAGGGAAAAGGCACUGGGGUUAUUUGUUUUUGGAGUAUGUGCUUAAGGAAAUCUAGAGUAUUCCCACGAGCAUUCUGCUGAGAUGAACAAUCAGAUGACCUCGUGUGAGAUUUGGAGGAGAGAAGGAAAUGGAGAGCAUGCGUCUGCCGCUUCUGUGGUUUCUGUCGGCUUUCUCCAUAUUUACGUGCUUGUAACUCUGGCAUGACCUUUGCUCCAGUCUCUACCAGAGGGCGGUGCCUGGAUUGAAGUGGAAAAGCCCUGUUUUCCAGCCAUGACCCAGGGAGCAAGCACUGACUCCUCAGGGGAACAGGAGACCUGCCAACUAGGACCCUGGGAGCCCCCAUGCUGGCAGUGCCCUGGGUCAUCUCAGGCUCAUCAGCAAAUCCUGGGGGGAGAGCGGGGCUGGAGGGCGAAGAAGCCCAGGAGAGUUCCUGGCUCAGAACCCCUCUCUGAGGCUCCCAAUACAGAGCCCAGGCCCCACACCCAGGGCCUCUGAGUAUUUUUGUUUAUUGUAUGUAAAAUACUAGUGUAUUUUUGUUUAAGUCUCACAGGUAAACAGGUUCUCUCAUACUUUGCCAAGGGAAAUGUGAUCUGUGCAAUUUGGCAAUAACUAUCAGAAUUUUAAAAGCUUA
rnacentral:lncRNA from 10 species